GCGAGCAUGCUGGAAUUGGCAGACAGGCACGUUUGAGGGGCGUGUGUUUAUGACGUGUGGGUUCAAGUCCCACUGCUCGCACCA
rnacentral:tRNA from 1 species